AGUGAACGCUGGCGGUAGGCCUAACACAUGCAAGUCGAACGGCAGCACAGUAAGAGCUUGCUCUUACGGGUGGCGAGUGGCGGACGGGUGAGGAAUACAUCGGAAUCUACUUUUUCGUGGGGGAUAACGUAGGGAAACUUACGCUAAUACCGCAUACGACCUACGGUUGAAAGCAGGGGAUCUUCGGACCUUGCGCGAUUGAAUGAGCCGAUGUCGGAUUAGCUAGUUGGAGGGGUAAAGGCCCACCAAGGCGACGAUCCGUAGCUGGUCUGAGAGGAUGAUCAGCCACACUGGAACUGAGACACGGUCCAGACUCCUACGGGAGGCAGCAGUGGGGAAUAUAGGACAAUGGGCGGAAGCAUGAUCAAGACAUACCGCGUGAGUGAAGAAGGCAUUCGGGUUGUAAAGCCCUUUUGUUGGGAAAGAAAAGCAGCAGGUUAAAAAACCGCUGUUCUGACGGUACCAAAAGAAUAAGCACCGGCUAACUUCGUG
rnacentral:rRNA from 1 species